AUCCAGUUGAAGAGUCCCAGACAGGACGAAACGUGCAUCCUGGAU
rnacentral:hammerhead_ribozyme from 1 species